AGAGUUUGAUCCUGGCUCAGGACGAACGCUGGCGGCGUGCCUAAUACAUGCAAGUCGAACGGUUCAGUCGUCUGUCGUCAGACGUCGGACGUCGGGGUGAAAGCAAUGAUUCCGGGUUAAAACCCGAGGAGAAACGCAUAAAUCCUGACGGCUGUUGCCUGACGACCGACGACUGAAUAGUGGCGGACGGGUGAGUAACACGUGAGCAACCUGCCUUGUACGGGAGGACAACAGUUGGAAACGGCUGCUAAUACUCCAUAAAACCGAGCCAGCACAUGCUGGAACGGUCAAAGGUUUUUAACCGGUACAAGAUGGGCUCGCGUCCCAUUAGCUAGUUGGCGGGAUAACAGCCCACCAAGGCGACGAUGGGUAGCCGGCCUGAGAGGGUGAACGGCCACACUGGGACUGAGACACGGCCCAGACUCCUACGGGAGGCAGCAGUCGGGAAUAUUGGGCAAUGGACGAAAGUCUGACCCAGCAAUGCCGCGUGAGUGAUGAAGGUCUUCGGAUCGUAAAGCUCUGUCUUUGGGGACGAAGAAAGUGACGGUACCCAAGGAGGAAGCCCCGGCUAACUACGUGCCAGCAGCCGCGGUAAUACGUAGGGGGCGAGCGUUGUCCGGAAUUACUGGGCGUAAAGGGCGAGUAGGCGGCUUGACAAGUCAGAUGUGAAAUACCAGGGCUUAACCUUGGUACUGCAUUUGAAACUGUCAGGCUUGAGUACAGGAGAGGAAAGUGGAAUUCCCAGUGUAGCGGUGAAAUGCGUAGAUAUUGGGAGGAACACCAGUGGCGAAGGCGACUUUCUGGACUGUAACUGACGCUGAGGCGCGAAAGCGUGGGGAGCAAACAGGAUUAGAUACCCUGGUAGUCCACGCCGUAAACGAUGAGUGCUAGGUGUAGAGGGUAUCGACCCCUUCUGUGCCGCAGUUAACACAAUAAGCACUCCGCCUGGGGAGUACGGUCGCAAGACUGAAACUCAAAGGAAUUGACGGGGGCCCGCACAAGCAGCGGAGCAUGUGGUUUAAUUCGACGCAACGCGAAGAACCUUACCAGGACUUGACAUCCCUCGCUAUAGGCGGAAACGUCUAGUUCCCUUCGGGGACGAGGAGACAGGUGGUGCACGGUUGUCGUCAGCUCGUGUCGUGAGAUGUUGGGUUAAGUCCCGCAACGAGCGCAACCCCUAUUCUUAGUUGCCAGCGUAAAGACGGGCACUCUAGGGAGACUGCCGGUGUAAACCGGAGGAAGGCGGGGAUGACGUCAAAUCAUCAUGCCCCUUAUGUCCUGGGCUACACACGUGCUACAAUGGGCUGUACAAAGGGAAGCGAUACCGCGAGGAGGAGCAAAUCCCAUAAAACAGCUCUCAGUUCAGAUCGUAGGCUGCAACUCGCCUACGUGAAGAUGGAGUUGCUAGUAAUCGCCGGUCAGCAUACGGCGGUGAAUGCGUUCCCGGGCCUUGUACACACCGCCCGUCACACCACGAAAGUUGACAACACCCAACGUCGGUGAGCUAACCAGUCUAGAGAUUAGAGGUUAGAGGUAAGAGGUUA
rnacentral:rRNA from 1 species